rnacentral:rRNA from 1 species
AACGAACGCUGGCGGCAUGCCUAACACAUGCAAGUCGAACGAGACCUUCGGGUCUAGUGGCGCACGGGUGCGUAACGCGUGGGAACCUGCCCUUAGGUUCGGAAUAACUCCCCGAAAGGGGUGCUAAUACCGGAUAAUGUCUUCGGACCAAAGAUUUAUCGCGUUUGGAUGGGCCCGCGUUGGAUUAGCUUGUUGGUAGGGUAAAAGCCUACCAAGGCGACGAUCCAUAGCUGGUCUGAGAGGAUGAUCAACCACACUGGGACUGAGACACGGCCCAGACUCCUACGGGAGGCAGGAGUGGGGAAUAUUGGACAAUGGGCGAAAGCCUGAUCCAGCAAUGCCGCGUGAGUGAUGAAGGCCUUAGGGUUGUAAAGCUCUUUUACCCGGGAUGAUAAUGACAGUACCGGGAGAAUAAGCUCCGGCUAACUCCGUG